rnacentral:rRNA from 1 species
UACGAAGGGGGCUAGCGUUGCUCGGAAUCACUGGGCGUAAAGGGUGCGUAGGCGGGUCUUUAAGUCAGGGGUGAAAUCCUGGAGCUCAACUCCAGAACUGCCUUUGAUACUGAGGAUCUUGAGUACGGGAGAGGUGAGUGGAACUGCGAGUGUAGAGGUGAAAUUCGUAGAUAUUCGCAAGAACACCAGUGGCGAAGGCGGACUCACUGGCCCGUUACUGACGCUGAGGCACGAAAGCGAUGGG